CGCAGUUGUGGCCCGACACUCUGCACAGACGGACGCGACGCGACGCGGGAGAUCCCGCGCCGCAGGUCACGCACGAGGCGAGCGGAGAGGGACGCCGGUCGCGGCGGGGUUCACGAAUGUUUCCAGUACCCGCGGCAAACAGCUGCCGGCUUGCGUCGGAAGACGCAGUACCGGCAGAUGUCUACAUUCAACCGGUUCGAACACACGGUGCACCUCAGUUCCCAACGCUGAUUUCCUAUAGUCGCCAGUCGUGACAGACGAGUACCUUUCUGGAGGAUCUCGAGGUGCUCCCAGAGGAUGUCGCCCAUGAAGGGCGGCGUUCUGGCGAGGAAGGCCUCCUUGCCCAUGUUGCAGAUGUCCUUGCCGCGCAUGUGCAGGUGCUGCAUGGUGACGCCCUCCAGCGAGAACUCGCGGAUGGCCCACGACAACCAGUGAGCCACCUGCGCCUCCGACCAUUGCCUCGGGUCUGCAACACAGCGCAACCAACGUUUCAGUUAGCACGUUAGCAUGCCAUUCUGACACUAGCCCACGUUGCUGUCGACGGAUGCUAGCUGAGUCAACCUGAGCUAAAGCAAAUGGGUAAACAGAUCCAGCUGUGGCAAAGAUACUGAAGAUACUCGUAGUCGAUGUGGUGAGGAAUGACUGCGAGCCGAUAACAGCAAACACAGUGCUCCUGCUUCCUUAGCCAGCAAGGUGCGCCAUAAUGGACCGUGAAGCAGAUGUCAGGUUGCACCAACGGUCAGUGAUGGAGUUCCUCUUCAAGACCGGCGAUGACUCUGCCACAUCGAUUCACAGGAAGUUGCUCCCUAUUUAUGGGGAGGACACGGUGGAUCGCAGCAGUAUCCAGCGGUGGUUGCAGAGGAUUUAAAGAAGGUGAUUUCUCUUUACUGUACAAUCCUCGAUGCCGUAGACCAUCGACGGCAGUGAGUGAUGUGAAUAACGAGAACAUUGAUCAAAUCAUCCAAAAUCACAAAUGUGUGACUACACGGCAGCUUGCUGAAAUGACUCGUUUGUCAUUGGGUAGUGUGGUAUCACUGGUAUGGUCACUAGGGUACAGAAAAAUCUGUGCACGUUGGGUGCCUAGAUUAUUGACAAGAGAAAUGAAAACGACGAGGAAGAAUACGUGUGAGGGUCUCAUGAAGACCUUUACUGAAGAGUGGAAAAGUGCUUUGAAGGCGUUAUCACCCAGGAUGAAACAUGGUUGUUUUUGUCCGAACCUGAGAGCAAAGCCCAAUCCAUGGAGUGGCGUUAUCCGGGUUCUCCUCGGAAGAAAAGACCAAGACUUUCACGAACAGCAGGACGAAAGGUGAUGGCCCCCGUCUUCUGGGAUCAGUGUGGUGUCAUUUUCAUUGAAUUUUUGGAACCUGGAUCCACAAUUAACCGGGACUGUUACUGUUUGUCAUUGGACAAGCUGCGACGUACCAUCAAGACCCACAGACCACAGCUUAAGGAUCAGCUCAUCAGACUACACCAUGAAAAUACCAAACCCCAUACAGCCCUUAUGACGCAGGAGAAAAUCAGGAAAAUGGGUUGAAAAAUUUUUCCUCAUUCUCCCUACAGUCCGGACUUGGCUCCGUCUGAUUUUUACCUCUUUGGUAGUCUAGAGGCCCACCUGCGCGGUAAAACAUUUCAUAGUGAGAAAGACAUUUCCUGUGUCAAGCGAUAGUGUAAAAGUCAUUUCCCAGAAUUUUACCAAAGUGCAUUUACAUCAUGGAAAGAACGUUAGGCCAGAUGCAUCACAGCUGAUGGAGGCUACAUUGAGUAGGCUCAAUCUUUAGCUAAAUGUUCCUAGUAUGUUCACAAAAAAUGUCA